rnacentral:rRNA from 1 species
AACGAACGCUGGCGGCAGGCCUAACACAUGCAAGUCGAACGCUCGUAGCAAUACGAGAGUGGCAGACGGGUGAGUAACACGUGGGAACCUUCCCUAUGGUUCGGAAUAGCUCAGGGAAACUUGGGGUAAUACCGGAUAAGCCCUUCGGGGAAGGAUUAUCGCCAUUGGAUGGGCCCGCGUCGGAUUAGCUAGUUGGUGAGGUAACGGCUCACCAAGGCAACGAUCCGUAGCUGGUCUGAGAGGAUGAUCAGCCACACUGGGACUGAGACACGGCCCACGACUCCUACGGGAGGCAGCAGUGGGGAAGUAUUGGACAAUGGGCGCAAGCCUGAUCCAGCCAUGCCGCGUGAGUGACGAAAGGUCUUCGG